CCUACGGGUGGCAGCAGUGAGGAAUAUUGGUCAAUGGCCGAGAGGCUGAACCAGCCAAGUCGCGUGAGGGAAGACGGCCCUACGGGUUGUAAACCUCUUUUGUCGGGGAGCAAAGCGAGUCACGUGUGACUCAUUGAGAGUACCCGAAGAAAAAGCAUCGGCUAACUCCGUGCCAGCAGCCGCGGUAAUACGUAUGGAGCAAGCGUUAUCCGGAUUUACUGGGUGUAAAGGGAGCGCAGACGGCAGGGCAAGUCUGAUGUGAAAGUCCGGGGCUCAACCCCGGGACUGCAUUGGAAACUGUCCGGCUAGAGUGCAGGAGAGGUAAGUGGAAUUCCUAGUGUAGCGGUGAAAUGCGUAGAUAUUAGGAGGAACACCAGUGGCGAAGGCGGCUUACUGGACUGUAACUGACGUUGAGGCUCGAAAGCGUGGGGAGCAAACAGGAUUAGAUACCCCGGUAGUC
rnacentral:rRNA from 1 species